rnacentral:rRNA from 1 species
UACGGAGGGUGCAAGCGUUGUUCGGAAUUACUGGGCGUAAAGCGCGUGUAGGUGGCUUGGCAAGUCGGUUGUGAAAGCCCUGGGCUCAACCCGGGAAAGGCGACCGAAACUACCAAGCUAGAGUCUCGGAGAGGAAGGCAGAAUUCCCAGUGUAGGGGUGAAAUCCGUAGAUACUGGGAGGAAUACCGGUAGCGAAGGCGGCCUUCUGGACGAAGACUGACACUCAGACGCGAAAGCGUGGGGAGCAAACAGG